GACGAACGCUGGCGGCGUGCUUAACACAUGCCAGUCGAACGGUGAAGGGAUCAGCUUGCUGGUUCUGGAUGAGUGGCGAACGGGUGAGUAACACGUGAGUAACCUGCCCCCUUCUUCUGGAUAACCGCAUGAAAGUGUGGCUAAUACGGGAUAUUCUGCGCCUGCUGCAUGGUGGGUGUGGGAAAGAUAUUGUUUCGGUGGGGGAUGGGCUCGCGGCCUAUCAGCUUGUUGGUGGGGUGAUGGCCUACCAAGGCGGUGACGGGUAGCCGGCCUGAGAGGGUGGACGGUCACACUGGGACUGAGACACGGCCCAGACUCCUACGGGAGGCAGCAGUGGGGAAUAUUGCACAAUGGGCGCAAGCCUGAUGCAGCGACGCCGCGUGAGGGAGGGAGGCCUUCGGGUUGUGAACCUCUUUCGCCAGUGAAGCAGGCCUGUCCCUUGUGGGUGGGUUGACGGUAGCUGGAUAAGAAGCGCCGGCUAACUACGUG
rnacentral:rRNA from 1 species